rnacentral:rRNA from 1 species
UGAGGAAUAUUGCUCAAUGGGCGAAAGCCUGAAGCAGCAACGCCGCGUGCGCGAUGAAGGCCUUCGGGUCGUAAAGCGCUUUUGAGAGGGACGAGAUAGGACGGUACCUCUUGAAUAAGUCACGGCUAACUACGUG